AUUGAACGCUGGCGGCAGGCCUAACACAUGCAAGUCGAACGAGUGGCGGACGGGUGAGUAAUGUCUGGGCAACUGCCCGAUGGAGGGGGCUAACUACUGGAAACGGUCGCUAAUACCGCAUACCAUCAGAUGUGCCCAGAUGGGAUUAGCUGGUAGGUGGGGUAACGGCUCACCUAGGCGACGAUCCCUAGCUGGUCUGAGCGGAUGAACAGACAAACUGGAACGGAGACACGGUACAGACUCCUACGGGAGGCAGCAGUGGGGAAUAUUGCACAAUGGGCGCAAGCCUGAUGCAGCCAUGCCGCGUGUGUGAAGAAGGCCUUCGGGUUGUAAAGCACUUUCAGCGGGGAGGCGUUACCCGCAGAAGAAGCACCGGAUAUCUCCGUGCGAGCCGCAGAGGUAAUUC
rnacentral:rRNA from 1 species